UGCCUCUCAGAGAAAAAGAGAGGGAGAAAGAAAGAAAGAAAGAAAGAAAGAAAGAAAGAAAGAAAGAAAGAAAAAAGGAAGGAAGGAAGGAAGAAAGAAAGAAAGAAAGAAAGAAAGAAAGAAAGAAAGAAAUUUCAAUUACCUUGUGCUAGAUUUUGCAGCAGUAACAAUUAACCCAAAAUUAUUAACGUCAUACAAUAUCUUCAGUUUGCAUUACAUAUCUAUCUAAUGUGUUUUAAAUUGGGUCUUGUUUUAUAUUUAAUCUCUCCUGGGUUGACGCUUAGCCUCUAUCAGGGAGAUGUCAUUAGGUAUUCAAAGCAAAAGAUUGAUGGGGUGACCAUAGGAAGGUCUGUCAAACUACUCCCGAUAAAGAACCUAUUCUACUCCCACUGCUUUCCAAAGCAAGUCACUGGGCUAAACUUGAACUCAGUGGGGCAGGAUGUACAAUCCCUCUACAGGAAGAGCAGCAACAAUUAGGAAGAGUAAUGUGACUGUCAUGGUGAGAUUCUCAUAAACCCAAUAGCAAUGUUGAGCGUUCCCAUGAAGAAAGUAAGCCCUGUGAGUACUGAUAUUCUGGAGAAAAGUCAAAUCAAAAUCUCAAAAAGACAUCCCUUACAGUUCUCUAUUACCCAAUCCUUUUCACUCUGGGAAAAUUUCCAUGACCAAGGUUUAUCAGUAAAGUAGUUUAAAUGAGAAAUGUCUCUCAGAGGUUGGGAUUUGAAUAUGACCUUGGUCCUCAUUUGGGGGGAGAAAAUAUAUCAUGGAGUUGGGCAUUGAGAAUCCUUGGCCUUAUUCUACUUCCUGUUAGAUCUCUCUGCUUCCUGUUUGUAGUUGGACAUGUGGUCCCUCAGCUUCUUUCUCUGGCUGCCUGCUGCCAUGCCUUCCCUACCAUUAUGAGCAUUCCCUCUGCAUGCAGCAUAAAUUCUCAUUAGUCAUGGUAUAUUAUCAGAGCAAGAGAAAAUCAAUAAAAAUUGUAAGUAUGCAAAAUAUACAUAAGAAAUAACAAAACUGUUUUUAAAACAAUUCUUUAGUGUGCAUGUCAUUUUACUACUUAUUAAAGAUGAGACUAACUUUCAGACAGUGAUGGGUAUAUAAAACUUGUUUAGUUUUACAUAAAGAACUGAAUGUUGGCUGAGUGUUUGAUACUGCAGGACAGAGAGCAUCCAAAAUGUUUUUCAGAGUUGAUCAAUGUUUUAAUUUUAUAAUAACCAAGACAGAGAACAUUGUUUUGCAUAAAUGCAAUGUACAAAAUUAUAAAAGCAUGUCUAGGGCCAUUUCACAAAUUGUUGAAAAGUUGUCUUAAGCACAAGACAAACUCAUUUAAUUUGUGUAAGUUAAAAUUUAAGUCAGAAAUUCAAGCAGUGCUUUUAUCUUAAAUUAAAAACUCUAGCACAAUGCAAAAUAAAUACACACUAAUUUGAUAUCUAUAUAUUUAAGAAUGUUGAUAGGAAAUAUUAAAAGAUUUCAUUUUUUUUCUGUAGCUAAACCAUAACAUUUCUAUUGGCAUUUUGCAAUAACAUACACAAUGCAGAGUGAACUUGCUUGUUUUUGUGUGUGUUAUGAUGAAGAUGUGACAUGCAACAUUGACACACACACACACAGAAAUACAUGCAAUUCAUUAGGUCUUUGAUUUUGAGUUAAUUUUGGGUAAUUUAACAUUCAUAAACUUUUAAUACAACUAAUGUUUUCUAAUUCACAUACAUAGCUAUGAGGGCCAUAUGAUACUGUGAUCUACAUUCAUAAUUGGGAUCUCCCAACAUUACUGGUUGAUAUUCUUUAUAUAAAGUAAGCAUUAUUAACAUAUUAGUUGUAUAGCUAUAGGAUAAGCUAUAUAUUAACAAGAGGACUGUCCUCAACUCUUCAACAGUCGUCAGCAUGCUCUUUCCUCAUUGUCUCUUGUGGUGCAGCACUCUCUUCAGAGUUAAAGCACUCCAUCCUGGACCGUGCCUCCUUUGAGGAUCAAGGAGUUCCAAGUUGAAGCAUUCCUUCCAGGAAGAGGUGGGAGGAUCAUGAGGUUCAGAAAGCCAACAAAAUUCAUAAGUAUGAGAAAGCUGAAGCGAAAUCCACAAAGACUACAGAACAGUAAACAGCUCCUGGGGGAAGAGACUCUCCCACCAGUUUAAGGGUCGGUACUGCAUGUUCAUGCAGAGAAUUCUAAGGAUAUAGGCUUCAUGAGUCACCACCCCCAGUGAUGUGUGGGUUUUCAGUGACUUGGCUGACAUUGAGUCAUCUCUGCUUCUGUAAGUAACCUCUUACCUAUACUGGGAAACCCCUAAUAAACUC
rnacentral:lncRNA from 1 species